AUGCCGCGUGUGUGAAGAAGGCCUUUUGGUUUGUAAAGCACUUUAAGCGAGGAGGAGGCUACUUGGAUUAAUACUCUAGGAUAGUGGACGUUACUCGCAGAAUAAGCACCGGCUAACUCUGUGCCAGCAGCCGCGGUAAUACAGAGGGUGCGAGCGUUAAUCGGAUUUACUGGGCGUAAAGCGUGCGUAGGCGGCUUCUUAAGUCGGAUGUGAAAUCCCUGAGCUUAACUUAGGAAUUGCAUUCGAUACUGGGAAGCUGGAGUAUGGGAGAGGAUGGUAGAAUUCCUGGUGUAGCGGUGAAAUGCGUAGAGAUCUGGAGGAAUACCGAUGGCGAAGGCAGCCAUCGGGCCUAAUACUGACGCUAAGGUACGAAAGCAUGGGGAGCAAACAGGAUUAGAUACCCUGGUAGUCCAUGCCGUACACGAUGUCUACUAGCCGUUGGGGCCUUUGAGGCUUUAGUGGCGCACCUAACGCGGUAAGUAGACCGCCUGGGGAGUACGGUCGCAAGACUAAAACUCGUAUGAAUUGACGGGGGCCCGCACAAGCGGUGGAGCAUGUGGUUUAAUUCGAUGCAACGCGAAGAACCUUACCUGGUCUUGACAUAAUAACAACUUUGCCGAGAUGGAUUGGUGACUUCGGGAACUUACAGACCGGUGCUGGAUGGCUGUCGUCAGCUCGUGUCGUGAGAUGUUGCGUUAACGUCCCGCAACGAGCGCAACCGCUUUUCCUUAUUUGCCAUCUUCCUUAAGCAUGGAUACUUUAAUGAUACUGCCACUGAGAAACUUGGACGACCGCGCCCACAACCUCGAGUCAUCAUGUCCCAUUGCGACUCCGGACUACACACGUACGACAAUGAUAUCUACAAU
rnacentral:rRNA from 1 species